rnacentral:rRNA from 1 species
AACGAACGCCGGCGGCAGGCUUAACACAUGCAAGUCGAACGCCCCGCAAGGGGAGUGGCAGACGGGUGAGUAACGCGUGGGAACAUACCCUUUUCUACGGAAUAGCUCUGGGAAACUGGAAUUAAUACCGUAUACGCCCUACGGGGGAAAGAUUUAUCGGGGAAGGAUUGGCCCGCGUUGGAUUAGCUAGUUGGUGGGGUAAAGGCCUACCAAGGCGACGAUCCAUAGCUGGUCUGAGAGGAUGAUCAGCCACAUUGGGACUGAGACACGGCCCAAACUCCUACGGGAGGCAGCAGUGGGGAAUAUUGGACAAUGGGCGCAAGCCUGAUCCAGCCAUGCCGCGUGAGUGAUGAAGGCCUUAGGGUUGUAAAGCUCUUUCACCGAUGAAGAUAAUGACGGUAGUCGGAGAAGAAGCCCCGGCUAACUUCGUG